GGAGGUAUAGCUCAAUGGUAGAGCAUGUGCUUAGCAUGCAGGAGGUCCUGGGUUCAAUCCUCAGUACUUCUA
rnacentral:tRNA from 1 species